GACCAAGAAGUCUAACAUGUGUGCGAGUCAUUGGGUAUAUUGAUGAAACCUAAGGGCGUAAUUAAAAUAACUAUUUUUAUGGGAUUACAUGUGAAUUAAAUUUCAUUUCUUCAUCCCGGGGCGUUCUAAAUGAACAUGAUUUAAGUAAUUAGAUCCUCUGUUCUAGAGCGUACCUUGAGCAUACAUGCUGUGACCCGAAAGAUGGUGAACUAUACCUGAUCAGAUCGAAGCCAGGAGAAAUUCUGGUGGAGGAUCGAAACAGUUCUGACGUGCAAAUCGAUUGUCAGAAUUGGGUAUAGGGGCGAAAGACCAAUCGAACCAUCUAGUAGCUGGUUCCCUCCGAAGUUUCCCUCAGGAUAGCUGGCGCAAAUGAUUAUAUUAUAUAUAAUCUUAUCUGGUAAAGCGAAUGAUUAGAGGCCUUGGGGUCGAAACGGCCUCAACCUAUUCUCAAACUUUAAAUGGGUAAGAACCUCAUCUUUCUUGAUCUGAAGAUAUUGGGGUUUAGAUAUAUUGUGCCCAGUGGGCCACUUUUGGUAAGCAGAACUGGCGCUGUGGGAUGAACCAAACAUGAUGUUACGGCGCCUAAAUUAAUGACUCAUAUUGAUACCAUGAAAGGCGUUGGUUGCUUAAAACAGCAGGACGGUGGACAUGGAAGUCGUAAUCCGCUAAGGAGUGUGUAACAACUCACCUGCCGAAGCAACUAGCCCUUAAAAUGGAUGGCGCUCAAGUCAUAUGCCUAUACAUCAUCGCUAAAAUAAAAAUUGUUGAUUUUUUUUUAUUUGGUCAUCAUUAUGAAAUUUUAGCGAGUAGGAGGGUACAAUGGUGUGCGCAGAAGUGUUUGGCGUGAGCCUGCAUGAAGCCGCCAUUGGCACAGAUCUUGGUGGUAGUAGCAAAUAAUCGAAUGAGAUCUUGGAGGACUGAAGUGGAGAAGGGUUUCGUGUGAACAGUGGUUGAUCACGAGUUAGUCGGUCCUAAGCUUUAUGCGAAAGCUGUUUAAUUUAUGUUACACAUUUUAAAUAUUUAUAUUAUUUGUUGUACAUAAUUGAAUAAAAGCGAAAGGGAAUACGGUUCCAAUUCCGUAACCUGUUGAGUAUACGUUUGUUUAUUAAAAAUGGGUCUUAUUACACUCAUCCUGGCAACAGGAACGACCAUAGAGAAGCCUUCGAGAGAUACUGGAAGAGUUUUCUUUUCUGCUAAACAAACGUAUCACCAUGGAAGUCUUUUAUAGAGAGAUAUGGUGAAUGGCUUGGAAGAGCAUGACAUUUACUGUUGUGUCAGUAUUUUCUCCUUGGACCUUGAAAAUCUAUGGUGGGGCCACGCAAACUUCUCAACAGACCGUACCGAUAUCCGCAGCCGGUCUCCAAGGUGAAGAGUCUCUAGUCGAUAGAAUA
rnacentral:rRNA from 1 species